CAUGAUGUUUGUUGCAGG
rnacentral:misc_RNA from 1 species